AAGAUUAAGCCAUGCAUGUCUAAGUAUAAGCAAUUUAUACAGUGAAACUGCGAAUGGCUCAUUAAAUCAGUUAUCGUUUAUUUGAUAGUUCCUUUACUACAUGGUAUAACUGUGGUAAUUCUAGAGCUAAUACAUGCUUAAAAUCUCGACCCUUUGGAAGAGAUGUAUUUAUUAGAUACAAAACCAAUGCGGGGCAACCCGGUUUUUUGGUGAUUCAUAAUAACUUCGCGAAUCGCAU
rnacentral:rRNA from 1 species